UACAGAGGUCUCAAGCGUUUGUUCGGAUUCAUUGGGCGUAAAGGGUGCGUAGGCGGCGCGGUAAGUCGGGUGUGAAAUCUCGGAGCUUAACUCCGAAACUGCAUUCGAUACUGCCGUGCUUGAGGACUGGAGAGGAGACUGGAAUUUACGGUGUAGCGGUGAAAUGCGUAGAUAUCGUAAGGAAGACCAGUGGCGAAGGCGGGUCUCGUGGACAGUUCCUGACGCUGAGGCAACGAAGGCCAGGGGAGCAAACGGG
rnacentral:rRNA from 1 species